AGGAAUAUUGGUCAAUGGACGAGAGUCUGAACCAGCCAAGUAGCGUGAAGGAUGACUGCCCUAUGGGUUGUAAACUUCUUUUAUACGGGAAUAAAGUGAGGCACGUGUGCCUUUUUGUAUGUACCGUAUGAAUAAGGAUCGGCUAACUCCGUGCCAGCAGCCGCGGUAAUACGGAGGAUCCGAGCGUUAUCCGGAUUUAUUGGGUUUAAAGGGAGCGUAGGCGGACGCUUAAGUCAGUUGUGAAAGUUUGCGGCUCAACCGUAAAAUUGCAGUUGAUACUGGGUGUCUUGAGUACAGUAGAGGCAGGCGGAAUUCGUGGUGUAGCGGUGAAAUGCUUAGAUAUCACGAAGAACUCCGAUUGCGAAGGCAGCUUGCUGGACUGUAACUGACGCUGAUGCUCGAAAGUGUGGGUAUCAAACAGGAUUAGAUACCCUGGUAGUCCACACAGUAAACGAUGAAUACUCGCUGUUUGCGAUAUACAGUAAGCGGCCAAGCGAAAGCGUUAAGUAUUCCACCUGGGGAGUACGCCGGCAACGGUGAAACUCAAAGGAAUUGACGGGGGCCCGCACAAGCGGAGGAACAUGUGGUUUAAUUCGAUGAUACGCGAGGAACCUUACCCGGGCUUGAAUUGCAACUGAAUGAUGUGGAGACAUGUCAGCCGCAAGGCAGUUGUGAAGGUGCUGCAUGGUUGUCGUCAGCUCGUGCCGUGAGGUGUCGGCUUAAGUGCCAUAACGAGCGCAACCCUUAUCGAUAGUUACCAUCAGGUUAUGCUGGGGACUCUGUCGAGACUGCCGUCGUAAGAUGUGAGGAAGGUGGGGAUGACGUCAAAUUAGCACGGCCCUUACGUCCGGGGCUACACACGUGUUACAAUGGGGGGUACAGAAGGCAGCUACACGGCGACGUGAUGCUAAUCCCGAAAGCCUCUCUCAGUUCGGAUUGGAGUCUGCAACCCGACUCCAUGAAGCUGGAUUCGCUAGUAAUCGCGCAUCAGCCACGGCGCGGUGAAUACGUUCCCG
rnacentral:rRNA from 1 species